rnacentral:rRNA from 1 species
GACGAACCGUGCAAACGUUGUUCGGAAUCACUGGGCUUAAAGGGCGCGUAGGCGGAUUCUCCAGUCGGGAGUGAAAUCUUUCGGCCCAACCGGAAAAGGGCUUCCGAUACUGAGAGUCUCGAGGGAGGUAGGGGUCGAGGGAACUGGUGGUGGAGCGGUGAAAUGCGUAGAUAUCGUAAGGAAGACCAGUGGCGAAGGCGGGUCUCUGGACAGUUCCUGACGCUGAGGCACGAAGGCCAGGGGAGCAAACGGG